ensembl:ncRNA C09B8.13 ncRNA
AAUGUAAUCACUCUCUUGAGCUCUCAAGAGACUCAUGUUUCGCUGAUCGGGAAAAAACAGGUAAAGUGGACAGAAGGAAGUGACGUGGGAUGGAAAGGAAUGUGAUAAAUCAAGUGCACACUAAUUUUUCCUUGUUAUCAACACUAUUUUUUUACAAGCCAGAUUGAAGGUGCUAUCGUGCCAGUGGAGAAAUUGUUAAAAGCUACUCCUAUGGGGCCAAAAUG